rnacentral:lncRNA from 1 species
CAAACCCAUGGCCGGUCUCAGCUUUAAAAAAGUCUUAUUUGAGAUUCCUUAUGGAACAGAGUUCCAUGAAAGCCAAUUUAAAAAGCCUAUGUGAAAAAUAAUUAUUCUUGCUGCACUUCAUACAAAUAAUCAGGCCAAGUAUAAUAAAGCAAAUCGGUCUUACCAUGAUUUAUCUUUAGUGAAAAUGGAGAGAGAAACUAUUUUUCAAAAACUAUGGUACACCUGAUUAGAUUCCAGUCUCAUCAGUUGUUUUUUGAGUAUUUUUCUGCAAUUUAGACUGACUCCUUAUUCCUGUGGACAAACCAGUGAUUUCUGCCUGCUGCUCAGAAGAAACAAGAGGGAUGGGUAAUGUAAAUAUCUGGAUCAAUAUUCUAAUUCUGGGCACAUUUUAGAAUCAGCUAACAACCCCAUAUCAGCUUGGUUCCAACAGUUGCCCAGCUCAUGAAAAAAUCUUCUAAUUUAGUUUACUUGAGAUAAUUUUACUUAUUUUGCCUUACUGUUGUGGAAUAUAUUGCUGUUGUACUCUUUGUGUAGGAAUGCAGAAUAAGCCUACUCAACAUUUUCUUAAACAUUUAUUAACCUUCUAGAUAUCACCUUUUGUUGGAACUCCAGAGUUAUGAGUGGCCCUUGACAUACUGAUGCUUUCUGAUUGAGCUCCUCUCUAUCCCAAAUACAAGAGAUCCUCAUAGUUAGGCAGGAAUAUCAUCACCCCUAUUCAGCCUGAAGAAGUUACAAAAUACAGAUCUUCGUCCCUCUACAACUCUUAAGAUUAAGGGUUCUCUUAUAAAAGGGAGGGGGGAAAUGUCAGAGGCAUUUGAACCAGAGCAACUUCAUCUUGAACAGGAGCUGGGUAAAAUUAGUCUGAAACCUACUGGGUUGCAUUCCCAGACGGUUAGGCAUUCUUAGUCAUAGGAUGAGAGAGGAGGUCAGCACAAGAUACAGGUCAUAAAGACCUUGCUGAUGAAACAGUUUGCUGUAAAGAAGCUGGCCAAAACUCACCAACACCAAGAUGGCGAUAAGUGUGACCUCUGAUCGUCCUCACUGCUACCCUCCCACUCCUACCAGCACCAUGACUGUUUACAAAUGCCAUGGAAAUGUCAGGAAGUUACCCUAUAUGGUCUAAAAAGGGGAAGCAUGGGCCGGGCCCUGUGGCUCACACCUAUAAUCCCAACACUUUGGGAGGCCCAGGUGGGCAGAUCACGAGGUCAGGAGUUCGAGACCAGCCUGACCAACAUGGUGAAA